AUAAAACAAAAAAAUGUUAAACAUAUGCUGCAUUAGUGAGUGAAAUCAUGAAGAAAUGACAAGGUCAGGUUGCAUAAAUCAGUGGAUCCCCACCACAUUCCUGAAGGCCCUCCAACACUGCACAUUUUACAUCUCUCCUUUGUCUGAAACACCCAGUUCAGGGGCAAGUUCAAACUCAAACCGGUGUGCACCGUUUUGCUACAGGCUCCGGUUUGAAUGACAUGUUUCCUGGAAAUGGUGUGCAACAUUGUGCAAGGGGAUUCGAGAUGCGUUUUAUCUUGUUUGACAGCUUGCACAAUGUAAUUUACAUCAAAAUAAAUUCACAAGAGCAA